rnacentral:tRNA from 1 species
GGAUUGUGGCUCAGUGGUAGAGCGCUCACCUAGCACAUGUGAGACCCUAGGUUCGAUCCUCAGCACCA